ensembl:lncRNA
AUCCUCCUGGACUGUGCCAACGCACAGACCACUCAAGAGCCAGGCUCUGACAGUGAUUCCAGGCUGUAAGUUCCAUACAAGACUUAGACCAUAGACAUGGAUUACCCCAAUGGAAACCGCAGCAAUCUUUCACCAGUGGGUCAGGAUCUUGUUGUGAGCCAAGAUGUACAGAAGGAGACUCUCUACAUGGAUCCACCAGCUUUUCCAUUGGCCAAGGGAGCACCACGACCUACACCAGCCAGGGAAUGGAGCAGUCUCUGCCUCAAGGACCUAAUAAAGAAUGGGGGCACCUCAGAGGAGCUUGCUGGGCCUCACAUUGAGAUGGAAGUGAAAAUGACGAUAGCCACUGAGUUGAG